UACGUAGGGGGCAAGCGUUGUCCGGAUUUAUUGGGCGUAAAGAGCGUGUAGGCGGCUAGAUAGGUCCGUUGUGAAAACUCCAGACUCAACUUGGAGACGCCACCUGAUACUGUCGUGACUAGAGUCCGGUAGGGGAGCAUGGAAUUCCUGGUGUAGCGGUGAAAUGCGCAGAUAUCAGGAAGAACACCCGUGGCGAAGGCGGCUCUCUGGGACGGUACUGACGCUGAGACGCGAAAGCGUGGGGAGCGAACAGG
rnacentral:rRNA from 1 species